rnacentral:tRNA from 1 species
CAAAGUGUAGCUUAAAUCAAAGCAUCCGGCCUACACCCAGAAAAUUUCAAUUAAUUUGAACACUUUGA